AGUAAAAACCCUAAUUCCCAACCCAGUCGCCGCACUCAACCUGCUUCCCUUCCUCCUUUCAUUCACACAUGAACGGCAAUCAGACAGAGAGGAGGAGAGGGGUCCGAGAGAGCAGAGGAGAAGGUAGAGGGGCUACCGCCUCCCCGCCGCCGCCGUCGCAUGCACCGUCGCUCCGUGGAGCCGCGCCUUGCCGCUGGACCGCCUUUGAUCUACCACACGCAUUGUCACCGUAGAGAGAGGGAGCAACACGAUCGAAGAGAGGAGGAGGAAGGAGACCCGUGCGCCAUUGGAGCCCGCUUCGUCACCGCCGUUGAGGUCCUCACCAUCGCCGUUAUUGGAGGUCUGUGAACAAAGGGGAGACACGCGAGGAAGGAGGAGCCUUCGACAUCGCUGUUCUGUCUCAACCCGGCGUCGCCGUCGUGUCCUGGCGCCAUUAAUGGAGGACACCAUCGCUGAUGAGCCCAGCCGCCUCUGAUCUGGUCCGAGAGAGAGAACUCGUGAGGGAGCCACCGCGGGAAGGAAGUCACCGCCGCGUUUUGCUACUUGCGCCACCACCGUCCAUCCUCCCCGCUACCAGAUGCCAUCGCCGUUCGCGAAGAAGAGAGAGAGCUCGCGUUGCCUCCAGAUCAGCCGUCAAAUCCGCCAUUACCCGUGCCUCUGCUGCCGGAGAACGUCGCUGCCGCCACUAAAACUCACUGCCGCCACCGUCGCCGGAGUUCUGGUCGCCGCUAUCGCUCGAGGUGAUUGCCGGGGCUGCCGGCAAACCGGUUCAGCUACCGCCGCUGUUUCAUUUUCUUAGUUCGGUUCGAGUUCUGUAUGUUGAAUACCGCUUUUAAGUUGUUGUGGGUGCUGCGAAAGUGAUCUGGGGCUGAGUUGGUGGAUUGCUGUUGAAUUCGGUUAAGAGAAAAGGUUUCGUAAUGCAUUUUGGGUUACGGUUUCGACGAAUCGAGAAAAACCACUGGAUUACUGUUUUAUAUUGAGAUUAUGAGACGCUAUGCGCCCAGCAGGGGUUGAGGUUGGUGGCAACAGAUCCCGCUUGCAUCCCUUCGGAUCAUCAGAGCGUACAGGCGCAAAACCCUGGAUAGUGAUCCGAGCACUAUAUCUCGGGAGUUUCCACACCAUGAUUCCAAAGGGCAACGUCUCCAUAGAGAUGUGUCUGGUUGGCAGUUGAACCGACAAUGUGAUAUCACAGCCAAUAGGGCAGACAUUCAUCAUCUGCAUUUAUGUGACAUUAUUUGGGUUAUUCCCUUUCAGGAUAUGGAUGACGGAGCUUCAGAAGAGUUUGUUUAUUUUCUGUUUAUUCGGUAUCUUUGUAUUAUCUUAGUUAUUAUUUUUUUCUUGCCUUUAUCUUUAUUAAAUUUGUAAGAGGGAUAGGUAAUUACCAUAUGUAUGUUUGUA